UACAGAGGUCCCAAGCGUUGUUCGGAUUCACUGGGCGUAAAGGGUGCGUAGGUGGUUGUGCAAGUCUGAUGUGAAAUCUCCGGGCUUAACCCGGAAAUGGCAUUGGAAACUGCAUGGCUAGAGGGUUGGAGGGGGGACUGGAAUACUUGGUGUAGCAGUGAAAUGCGUAGAUAUCAAGUGGAACACCAGUGGCGAAGGCGAGUCCCUGGACAACACCGGACACUGAGGCACGAAAGCUAGGGGAGCAAACAGG
rnacentral:rRNA from 1 species